UACGGAAGGCAGCAGUAGGGAAUCUUGCGCAAUGGGGGAAACCCUGACGCAGCCAUGCCGCGUGAAUGAUGAAGGUCUUAGGAUUGUAAAAUUCUUUCAGCGGGGAAGAUAAUGACUGUACCCGCAGAAGAAGCUCCGGCUAACUUCGUGCCAGCAGCCGCGGUAAUACGAAGGGGCUAGCGUUGCUCGGAAUUACUGGGCGUAAAGGGCGCGUAGGCGGGUGUUUAAGUCAGAGGUCAAAUCCCAGGGCUCAACCCUGGAACUGCCUUUUGAUACUGGGCACCUAGAGUACGGGAGAGGUGUGUGGAACUCCGAGUGUAGAGGUGAAAUUCGUAGAUAUUCGGAAGAACACCAGUGGCGAAGGCGACACACUGGCCCGUUACUGACGCUGAGGCGCGAAAGCGUGGGGAGCAAACGAGGGAUUAGAUACC
rnacentral:rRNA from 1 species